rnacentral:tRNA from 1 species
ACGGGGUUUCCCUAGUCUGGCCAAGGGGCCGUGCUGGAACCACGGUGCCCGCGAGGGUACGGGUGUUCAAAUCGCCCUCCCGCCGUG